rnacentral:lncRNA from 1 species
GGAGCUGCAAACUGCCCUCAGGGCAAAGAAGCCUGCAGAAUAAUUGGGAGGAGUCUGGCAGGAAGGAAGCCAAGUUUCCUGAGGCCCUCACCAGAAGCUCAUCAGAAGCAGAUGCUGGCACCACUCUUCUUAUGCUGUCUGCGUAACUAAUCAGUAUUUCAAGCAUCCAAAAUGUGUAGGAGAAUAUGGACCCAAGAACGGAGCAGAGAGACAAAUAGAGGAACGGAAAGUUUUGCCUACAACCAUGAUGUUCUCAAUGUUAGCUGACUGUGUUCUAAAAUCCACUCCAAUUCCCAUUUUGGGAGUUGCUAUGUGAUGAAGGUCUGCCCCUGUGGUGUUGGGACAACUUGCUCAUGGAGUUGCAGUUCUUGCCUAACAGGAACCCACCAUGAAAGCACAAGCAAGAAUGUGUGAGAAGAUCACAGAGACCUAAAGAAGGGGAAGGGAAGAACCCACAUGUGAGAGAGAAGAGAUUGUCUGACUUGUCAGUGUUCCUAAUUGCACUGCCCCUGGAAAACGCACGGAGAAGAAAUACAGCAAAAUACAUGAGAUGGUGAAACACUCUGGCAACUGCAAGCGGACAGAUGGGAUCUGGGAGGUAAUGCAGGGUCACAGGGCAGUUACACCAGGAUAUUUGGUUCUUUCCUACUCUCCUUUCCCCACCCUCAAUGCUAUAUACAUAACUGCUAGUGAAUCAAUUUAUGUACAUAUCCCAGAUAUCUAGGACUGGUUGAGGCGGGUUAUCCAAGAGAGUCACAGUGUAUUACCAUUUUUUAUUAAGUACAACCAGACCAACAGAGAACUGAUUAACUCAACCACUGAACUUUAUGUUUUCCCCCAUCAUCUAUAGAAUUGAUUUUACUGGAUUUUGACAUGUCAGUUUAUCACUUACUUUAUCCUUCAGUGAAGGACACACUAAGGAAUGGAGUUAUUAAGCUUGUUCUACUGGCUGUGAGGAUGUUGUUGAGGGACAUUGUUCAUGACGUUAUGUUGUGUCAUUUUUAUGAGGACUCAAUGGAAGGACUUCUGUCUGAUUUCAGUACUGGAAGUAGUCAUACUUCUCCUGAGCAACCAUUUUCUUUCUCCGUUAUAAAAAUCUCAUUGUCUCUGUGAA